AUCCUAGCUUGCUAGGAGGCGUCGAGCGGCGGACGGGUGAGUAACGCGUGAGAAUCUACCCAUGAGNGGGGGACAACCCGGGGAAACUCGGGCUANUACCGCAUACGCCCUACGGGGUAAAGCAGGGGACCUUCGGGCCUUGCGCUGAUGGAUGANCUCGCGUCGGAUUANCUUGUUGGNGAGGUAAAGGCUCNCCAAGGNGACGAUCCGUAGCUGGUCUGAGAGGAUGAUCAGCCACNCCGGGACUGAGACACNGCCCGNACUCCUACGGGAGGCNGCAGUGGGGAAUCUUGGACAAUGGGGGCAACCCUGAUCCAGCCAUGCCGCGUGUGUGAAGAAGGCCUUCGGGUUGUAAAGCACUUUCNGCAGGGAGGAAGGNUUACCCCUAAUACGGGUGAGUACUUGACGUUNCCUGCAGAANAAGCACCGGCUANUUUCGUGCCNGCAGCCGCGGUAAUACGAAAGGUGCAAGCGUUAAUCGNAAUUACUGGGCGUAAAGCGCGCGUAGGCGGUGUGUUAAGUCGGAUGUGAAAGCCCAGGGCUCAACCUUGGAAUUGCAUCCGAUACUGGCACGCUAGAGUGCAGUAGAGGGAGGUGGAAUUUCCGGUGUAGCGGUGAAAUGCGUAGAGAUCGGAAGGAACACCNGUGGCGAAGGCGGNCUCCUGGACUGACACUGACNCUGAGGUGCGAAAGCGUGGGGAGCANACNNGAUU
rnacentral:rRNA from 1 species